UAAACUAUUUACAAGACAGAAAAUAUGGAUAAAACGACAAGAUUGGCGGAAAAUUUGGAGAUAUUAACCCAGCAAAGAAUCAGACGAAUCUUAUUGGCAUAUAGAGAAAGAUUUCAAUUGGAAUAUGAAAUGCAAGAAGUCAUAGACAAUCUAGAACAAUGGCGCAUCCGCCAAAUUCGUCCAUAGAAAUAUUUCUUUCGAAACAAUUGAAAUGCAAUGAUUUGCAUAAUUUUAAGACGUAAUAAAAUUCUGUCUUGAUAAUAUUCCAAGCAGAUUUGAUGUUUUCUGGUUAUUCCAUCAAGAAAAUGUACAUAUUAGAUGAAUAUUAUCUGGUGUUCAACUCCCAUACAAGCUAUUUAGAUGGAAUAGUCGAGACAAUAAAUUAAUAAAGAAACCUAUGUUCAACAGAAUCUUGAAUCAUCCAGUGAAUUGGUAAGAAGAUUUGAGUUAUAAUAUGGAAGUAGUCGAUUGAAAAUUCGAAUUCAAGUAUUUCACUCGAAUAUAAGAUGUUAACAAGGCGAAAGGAGAAAUGUAUAGAUAAAAGUCGCCAUAGGCAAUGGGAUGGCAGUGAUGGCACUAGGUAUUCGUUCAUAGAAAAAUAAGGAAUAUGAAUUAAUUCAGAGACUGGAUUGAUGAAAUCUUGAAUUGGUAUUGGAUUUCAAUAUAAACCAUUUACAAGACAGAAAAUAUGGAUAAAAGGACAAGAUUGACGAAAAAUUUGGAGAUAUUAACCCAGCAACGAAUCAUAUAGAGAAAAACUUCAAUAGGAAAAUGAAAUUGAAGACGUCAUAGACAAUCUAGAACAAUGGCGCAUCCACCAAAUAUGUUCCAUAGAAAUAUUUCUUUCGAAAUAAUUGAAGUGCAAUGAUUUGCAUAAUUUUAAGACGUAAUAAAAUUCUGUCUUGAGAAUAUUCCAAACAAAUGUGAUGUUUCCUGGUUAAUUCAUUAAGAAAAUGUACAUAUUAGAUGAAUAUUA